GAUGAAGAACGUAGCGAAAUGCGAUAAGUAAUGUGAAUUGCAGAAUUCAGUGAAUCAUCGAAUCUUUGAACGCAUCUUGCGCUCCUUGGUAUUCUGAGGAGCAUGCCUGUUUGAGUGUCAUUAAAUUCUCAACUACACUGACUUUGAAUUGGUGUGGCUUGGAUUUGGGGGGAAAAUUGUUGUGGGCUUUUUGUAUAGUCUGCUCCCCUGAAAUUGAUUAGCGGUACCUUUGUGGAACUGUCUACAGGUGUGAUAAUUAUCUACAUCUUAGACAUCUGCUGGAAUGCCGCUUUCUAAACCUUACUUGUAUUGACAAUCUUGACCUCAAAUCAGGUAGGACUACCCGCUGAACUUAAGCAUAUCAAUAAGCGGAGGA
rnacentral:misc_RNA from 1 species